UUUCCGUAGGUGAACCUGCGGAAGGAUCAUUACAGAGUUCAUGCCCUCACGGGUAGAUAUCCCACCCUUGAAUAUUUAUACCUUAGUUGCUUUGGCAGGCCGUGGAAACACCAUGGGCUCCGGCUUAUGCGUGCCUGCCAGAGGAAACAAACUCUGUUUUUAGUGAUGUCUGAGUACUAUAUAAUAGUUAAAACUUUCAACAACGGAUCUCUUGGUUCUG
rnacentral:misc_RNA from 1 species